rnacentral:pre_miRNA from 1 species
AAAAAGGCAAACCAUGGGUUUCCGUGUCCAACUUUGAUUGUCCGUCUUAUAUGAAAUUUUUUUAUAAUUCGUAUUUUUAUUGUUGCUAGAUGAUAAAACAUAAUUAAUAUUUUAUGCGUGACUUGUCUUUUUAAUUUUUUUUCAUAAUUUUUUUUCAAAUAAGACGGACGGUCAAACGUUGGGCACGGAAACCAUGGUUUGUCUUUUU